CACCCCAUGGCAUUAAGAGAGAAAAGUAAAAAGUAUGCAUAAAUCUUUUAACUAUGCUUUACAUGGGGGAAAGAACAGAUGUAUCAACUAUCCUAUAUAUCAACUGGAUUCCCAGUUUUAAAUAAAACCAAUAUUUACUGGUAAAAAUUGUCAAAGCGAAUACACGCAAACAAAUGUUACUAGUAAAUAAAUGUUCUACAUAGAGAAUAAUUUACUUUGGUUUUAUGCGCCUUCUCAAAAAUAACACUAGUGUCCCAACGUCACCAAACUGAUGUGUUCCAGCAAAGUUGUAAGGCAAAUCUUUUUUUCCCUAGUGACAUCUUGUUUCCCAACAGACAAAACUAAAAUCUUUUGGUGAGGAAGGGGUUAAGAUAAUGGCUAACCCCUUGGCAUCCUGAGCAUUGUGGUUUAUCAAACUCUACCCUGCUAGAAAUUGUCAGGCACCCUGACCCCUGCCUUGAACCAGGAAGGCUCCCAUGUCUAGAGAUGCCCUGACUCCUUAUAAAUAGCUUUCAGAACUUUGCUUUUUUCCCUUCUCUCUGGUUGUUAUAAUGUCUAACGAAGCUGGUUGCAAUGUCACAUUUUGCUAGUAGGGGCCACCAUCUAACAAUAAUUCCAAUAUGAAAGGUUUUAAGCCAAUAGUUGGUUCCUAAUUUUAUCAACGAUUUGCACUAAAAUUCUCUACAAUUUACUUAGAGCAGAGAUCUUUAACUUGGGUUUCAGAAGAUGUGUGAUGCCCCUGAAGUUGUAUGCAAAAUUAUCCAGGGAUGGGCAUUUUUUUUUUCUUGGGUAGAGGAUCCAUCACACUGUCAUCAGAUUAUCAAAGAUAUCUGUGACCCCCAAAAAGGGUUAUAGGGACUUAGAGGGAUACCCGUAAUUCAUUUUAUACCAGGACUGGGAAAUGGGGGCAGAAAACUAAAAAUGGCCUCGAAAAAGGCCAGGGACAAAUUGCUGAUCUUUUCCCUUUAUUCACAUUGGGAAAAUAAGUGCUUCAAACUGGAAAAAUCAUUAAUUAAGCUGGUUAAACUCCAUUAAAAAAUAAUCAAAUCGCUUUCUAAAUUUUUUUCAUUUUCGAUAUGUGGUAAAUUUUGUCUCCAAGAAAAGGUUUGGAGACUGAAUUUUUCUCUUUUCCUAAAGGAAAUUCAUAGAUAGAAUGCUGAAUAUCAUCCACAUUUAAAGAUUUGACAACAUAAAAGUUAGAUAACUCUUAAUGAUGUGAAUCUUUAACUUAUGAUUUUGAGUAAAGGAUUAUCUAGAAUCAAAUAUACACUUAUUAAUCUUCAUUUCCCAAAAUUGGUCCAUAUUUAGACAACUACCUGGCACAAUUUCACUAGAUAAACCUAAAAUCUGAACAAUGGAAGUUAAACUUCUACCCAAAGUAAAAACAAAGCCAUAAGAUUCCACAAUUGAAUUGGCCACAAACAUUCACACUAUGUUAUAAAGGACUUUCUCAUUUCAAAUACAUCACUGAAUGUUCAACAGAAUUUGCAAACAUAAGAUCCAGAAUGACUAGCAAAACAUGCUAAGAGCAUGUCAAAAAGUAAAACACCACCUCUCCCCCCCCAAUCUGGAAACACACUCAGGCAUUCCAAAAAUAAACCAGAUCUGAAAAGAGGCCUCUCACUUGGUUUUAAGUAUGAGGUGUGUACAAAGCUAUGGGAAAGGGAAUAUAAAAUGAAAUAACCAAAUAACUUACAAAAAAUAAUUUUAGCCAAAAACACAUCUCUCUGUUCCAUUGAUAAAACUAUCAAUUUUUAAAUUUUUUUGCAAUUCUGAACACUGUGUUGCAUAAUAUCACCAAGACAAAAAAUAUGUUCACAGGUACACUUUUUGUUAUUUUCUUUCUAGAGCACAUCUUUGAGGUCAUAAGACCGCAUCUGGUUAAAAUAAAGUCUCUUGCCCUUGCUUCCCUUCCCCCUCAAAGUGAUUCAACCCUGAAUUCCAAAAAGGAAUAUUCAAUAUAACAACUUGAAAACCAGUUGUAACACUUAGACCAUAAGGAAACUAUAUGAACAUUAUGGAAAACUACAUGAAAGAGGGAGCUGCCACUUGCCACCCACUUCACUUCCAGCUUUUUAAGCAUGUACCCAGCUAGACUCCUAUCUCACUGACUUCAGUGAAACAAACUAACACACCAAAUCUAGGCCAUCUCAGGCUGGAAGUUAAAACUCGAAGACAUCAUUUCAUAUACACAUACAUAUAUAUUCCCUAUCCUAAGCUUUAACUUUGUCUAUUUAAACAGUUUAAUAAAGCUCACAUUUACAAAGGAUUUUAUUGGCAAAUAAAGGCCCAUAUUAAAAAUUUUAUCAGAACAAAUUUUUGUUUUAUACAGCUAACAUUAAGAAAUAUUUUCUUGGCCUUAUAAAAUAUUUUUAAUUGCAUAUAAUUUUUGCUUUGGGUGGAAUAUUGAAAACACAAUUCUGCAAGAAAUUAGAAAAGACUAGAAACAAAAGUGAAAGUGACUAGCCUUAACUUUCAAAAAAUCAAGUGCAAAGAUAAAUAGUGCAAAUAAUGAAAACUAGAAAUUUUACAGGCAACUUUAGUCUUUCCUGCUUUUGCACUUUUACACAUUGACAACUUUAUAAACCCUAACAACUAUAUGCAGCAUGGAAAUGGGCUAUCAUUUAUCUCCACUGACUAGACUUAAGCCUUUCAAGGACUUGUCUCACAGUCAUUUAAAUCACAAGUUCUUGACACAGGUUUGGGAAUUCACUUCUUUUUAAACAAAUUUCUAAGGGAGGGGCUAUUUAAGAAGGCUUUGCAUUGACUUAAAUGAGUUAUAGUAUAUAACUAUUAUAAUUUAAAAUCUGACACAAUAAAAUGUGAAAAUUAUACUAAAGUGCCAACUCUACAAAAUAAGCUAUAGUAAAAAUAAUCCUGCUAUUGUUAAUGAACCUGACAUUCGUAAAAAAGAAAAAUUACCUUCAAAGUACAAAAUCAGAACCACUUUUUUGCUAUUUUUAAAAGAGAUUUUUAUCACUAAUAUAUAGAGAUGUGAGUAAAAUGAAACUUCAAAGUAAUCUGUCCAAAUCACCAGGAAUAAAUCCAUACUAAAUUUGACAACAAAGAGUUAAUCCAAACAUACUUGAAUUAUGUAACUUAAAAACAAACAUUACAGUAAUUAUUUAUCUUAAAUAAUUUAAAACACUACUGGAAUAAUGGGAACAGAAAUCUAAACACUAUCAGCUUACCCUACAAAGGAUAUAAGAACCUCCAAAAUGUACUAACUUAUUUUAUUAACAUUUGCCACCACUGAACUCUUGGGAAUACUACAAUUUUAAAGUAAGAGAGAAAGUAGGGAAACAGAAACAUGAGUUUGGGGGGUAUGUUGUCUAAUUUUAGAAAUACAGUAUUAUUGAGGGCCUCAUAAGGUCUACAAGGUUAAAUGGUUGCUACGGAUGCAAAUGUAAAAGAAAUAAAAAAGACACCUAAAAUUGCAAGUUAGUGUUUUUACCUGGUUUAUUGUCUUCUAAGAAAUUUGUGUGGGCCAAAGUCUCAAAAUUCUAUAAAAGCAAGGAAUAAUAUGUGUCUUUGUGGAGUACAAAAUCAAAUAAUUUGAUCUAAGGACCAUUUGAAAAGUAAAGGUAAACUACAUUGUAACAAGAGCCCAAGAAAAUAGAUAGUAUGUGUGAUAAAUAUUUCUGAUAGUUUAAAAAGAAUAAUGGUGAAAAGCUUGAAAUUUUCUUUUCCUCAAAAUAAUAACUCCCCAGCAUCCACUUGCCUUGACCAGAAAAGCUGUCAUUCCACAAUUGUGCUAAUUUGUCCCAGAAAAGCAGACAUCCUAUACAUGAAAACAGACUUGUAUAAUGCAUGAUCAUUAUCAUAACUCUAGCUAUAGUAACUAACAGCUUUCUCAUAAUCAAUGAGGGACCCAUUUUCUCUGGCUUUAUUGAAACUUCCUUAGUGAAGAUCAACUUCAUUUCCUUAGCAAAUAACUCUCAUUCGGACUCCAUCAUAGUACCUUUUCCUACCUCUAGUAAAAAUUCCUCUCACUUUAUUUCCAAACCAUUCUCUAUAUACCUCUCAAACCCCCAUCCACAAACACAUUAAACAGCUCUCCUCGUCCUACUCUCCAAUUUCCAAACCAGUAAGUCUCAGUUCCCAGUAACUUACCUAAAAUACACAUACUUCUUACUCUCUUCAGUUCACAAGUUUCUUAACAUUAAUUUAGAUACCUUCAAACUGCCAGCUUAAGACUAUGGGGAAAAUAGCAAUCAGAAAAAAACUGCCCAGUUACCUCAUAAUACUGAAAUUGUUCUGGAUCAUCAGUUAGCUAUGUUCUAAGGCAGGAGUCAGAAAUUUCUUUACUUCUCUCUGAAGAAGUAAGCUUGAGUGCCACUGGUAGGCCUACAGCAAGAGUAAAAGUGGAGAGAGAAACAAAGAAAAAGGAUAGGAGAGAGAAGAUGCCAGAUGUACAUGGUAAGGAGGUAGGUCAAGUACCACCACCAACUACCUGCAUUUAAAAUUGCCAAUCCACUCCAGCUGAAUGGGAGUUUGACCCAAACUCAACAUGUGUCUGAUAAGUCAUUAGCUGAUGGCUAUCAUUGUUUGAGCUAGUCAAGAUGAAUAGGUAAUUCACCUGUCCCAUAACUUUAACUGCCACUUCACGAUAAGGACAUAUUUUCUUAAAUCCUCCUAGGAUCCUUCUGUGUUAAUAAUCUACCUUAGACCAAAACACACACUAACAAGAGUAUUUCCAUGUUUUUCACAAUUCUAAAAUAGAAGGACUUGGUCCUUGAACUUGGAGGCCUCUUGAAUUAUUAAAGUGGAACCAAAAUCAAGAAAAUUAAACUCUUUAGCUUAAACAUUUUUCCAUCUAAUGCUACAAAAUAAGCUAAUUGCUAAUAAUUAUCAAAACAAUGUGUGUAUUUAUGAAAACAUGAAAAUCCUGUGAUUCCAAAAUGAGUGAAAUACUUCUGAUGUGUAAGAAGCAACUAUAUUUUACAUAGAGGAUCACCACCAUGUUUCUGCCUAUCAACAGGACAAUCUUCCACAAAAGCAAAGGACAUCAGGAAGGAAAAACACAAAACAAAACAAAUACCAAACGUGGGGACAAAAUAAAAAUGAAUGAGUAGUUAUGACAUUCUUGUUAAGAAAAAUGUUAACAAGUGACCUUUGCCACACUCAGCUUUCCUAAAGACAUAAAUUGCCUGGACCAUUCAACAUCAAAACUUGGUAGUUAGCUUAGCAGAUUCAUUGGCUUGAAACCAAUCAUUAUUUCUUAUUUCAUCUGGUUGUUCUUUUAUCAUGAAAUUCUACCUGACUCAUGCUAAUUCUGGCUUAUUUUCACUUAGCCUGUAAUGAAAUUUCUGUUCAAAAAGGACGUGUCAAAUGGCCUAUACCUUAAAUUUAGGUUUUCAGGAUCAAAUAACUUCUUAAAUAUUAAUAUUAAAAUCAGCUUUUCUUAAUAUAUCACAAAAUCUGCAAAGAAGAUUCUAUAAUAAUUCGUGAAUAGCAGUGAUCACUUUAGUUUUAUAGCAUACUUAUGAAUGGCCAAAAUUUGGUUAAUAUGCAAUGAAGAAAACAGAAAUAUUGUGAUUUAAAAAUUGAUACACUUUAACAAAUCUACACAAAUAACUUUGGUGAAUUUAUCUAUGUAAGCAAUUCCAAUAAAUUAUCUCUCCUACUUAUUCCACUCUCAAGGAGAUGUGUGUAUCUAUAUACAUAUACACACACACAAUGUAUAUAUACAUAUAUAUGUGUAUGUGUGUGUAUACAUCUCUCUCCAAAUUAUGAAGAUAUUCAAAUUUAGGGAUAAUAAACUAUAAAUGUUAUACUCAGAGUCAUCACCAACUAUUCCAAACCUAAGUUGCUACAGAUGCCCUUGUUUUAGCAUCCUUUUACAUAGAUAGCAAGGUCUCAUUCUGAUACUCAAAAGAUUUUAAAAAGGGAAAAAAGUCAUUAGACUUGGUAUCUCACUUUUUAUGGUGAAGAAAAUCUUAAAAUUAUGUUCACAUGUAAAAUAAAAUGAAUUGUGGAGCUAUGAAAGCUACUAGACCAUCAAUUUCAGAUAGCCCCAUUCUAAAAUUAUCUGGAAAUGUGUGUGUAUAUAUAACCUGAAAAAAUGAGUGGGAAUAUUGUAGACAAGAAGGUGAACCAUGUGUGGAAGAUAAAAAUAAUCAUGCCCAUAUGGUGGGGUCACCAGGUCUAGCAGAUAACCCAAAAUGUCAUAAAAGAAAAAUGUGUUUAGAAAGUUUGAACAGGGCCAAAACACAAAAUGUUAAAAGCACACAAACAAAAAUGAAUGAGAUAAUCCCCCCAAACGUCAAGUUACAUAAGAAAAUAGGAAGAAAAAAGUUGACAUAGUAUCUUUUAAAAUAUAUCAAAUCUUAACUGACUUAAAAAAUGAUAUAAAGUGCUUGGGCCAUGAUACCCACCCAGAUUCUCAUUAUCAACGGAUUUAUCUUUUCCCCCUCCCUUCCACCCAAAUUUAAUUCAGUUUUCCUUAAGAAAAAGUACAGCAUCCCUAUAUUAAUAAGAAAUGAAAACAGUGAGUACAACUGAUAUAGAUCCAUUGACUUUUAUUACAAAUGUACUUGAUCACUUGGCUUCAAAAAGUUUAAAAUCAAUACCCUAUUUUCUGUAUGCCAGUACAAAGCAAACUGUUUUACAAAUUAAAUACCUAAAAAUUUGACAAAAAUAUUAAAAUUUGAUGAAAAACAAUUAUAAAAAUCCUUAAUCUCUCUCUUCAAAAAAGGAGGCACAAAUAAAAAGUAGCUUAAAAAAAAUUUGGUGAUUUAAAAGAAAAAAACAACUCCAAACACACACACAUACAUAAGCAUUUCAAAUCUGGUGGCUGAUCUCUGGAUUAAAUUACUUGACAGUGUCUCUCAUUUUAAAGAACGUCAAUAUUGCAAUGCAGUUCAAGUUUUCUUUUAUACUUAGGCAAAUAAUACAGUUUAACCAAGCUCUUGGACCUUAAUUGUAAGACAAAGCAGAUCAAUAAAAAUAAGGCAUACUUCUCAGGAAUUAAGUUUUGUUUGCUUGUUUUUGGCACAUUUGAUCAUACUGUCUUCUAUGAAUAACACAUAUGGUCAAAUAUACCAUUUCCUUAUUUGUUUCAGCAUAAACAGGGUUUACCAACUAGUAAAAUAAAAACAAGGAAAAAUUCCAACAUAAAACACUGAUAUAUAGAAACUAGGUAAAGUACCGAGCACCUGGGAGGGAAGGGUAGGGAAAGGAUGCAACAGAAGAGGGAAGACAAGGUUUGGGAGGGUGCUUGGGGAGGUAAAGUGAGAUGCUUAAAAAAAGAGCAUCUUUACAGUCACUUAGUCUUUUCUAUGAUCACUUUUUAAGUCUUAAAAGAUCUGCAUGUGGAUUUCUUUUUAAACCCACUGACCAUAAAUCAGACACUGGUUUCAAAAUCGUAGUUAGAUUGUAUUAAACUGUUUUAGUGUAAAGACAAUUAAUUGCACAAUACAUGUGCUUCUUGAGCCGGUGGGAUUCCAAGCAGAAUCUGAAGUCUAUAGAUAAGAAAGGCUUCACUUUAGGUAACUCUGGCCCUAAAGAAAACCUCAUGAAAGAACUCGCAUCUCAAAGAAAGGACACUUUGCCUAAGUUUGCUGUGUUUUUGUUGACUUGCACUACUUAUUGCUGGCUACUAUGAAACAGUGAUCUAGGAGUACUCCAACAACCUGUAGUACAAGGCUUAACUUUAAGAAGCUAUAGUAAACAAGAGACAAAAUCAAAGCAAUUCUCUUUCCUAAUUAGUAACAGCACAGAGAAUGCAGUCUUUUCCAUAUCACAGUUAAAGUACAGUGAACAAAACAGCUCAACAAACCUUAAGACAAAAAAGUGCAGGUUAUUAAUGUUUACAUGCAGUUGAUAAGCAUUCCAAAUGUCACAUUAUGCACUGUAAAAGCUCAACUUUACUAUAUGGAAAUAAGAAAAAUGCACCUCUGGGGAGGGGGAAAAGCAAUUUAAUCAUUUCCAGUGAUUUUGUAAGUAAAGAAACUCCUAACUACUGUACGGUCACCUCAUAUUUAACAUUGAAUAUUAAAAGCAAACAAUUUAAUGGGAAAAUGCACAGUACAAUGAAAAUAGCUUGUUAUUCAACACAUACAGUAGAUCUCAAAAACGAAGACAACACACUCAACCAGGGAGCAUAAAAAUAUCAAAUCAAAACCCAAAGGACCAGCAGAAAAAAAUCCUUCAAAAAGACAACUGUUUGCCUUCCUAGGCCAAUGCUUUACAAUAUAAGAAGCACUGAUACCUUCCCGCUCCUACAGGUGGUGUCUUAUACAUACAGCAGUUAGAUCUAUAUGGCUGGAUUUGCCAAGAAACAAUUCCAUCCCCAGAACUCUCUGUCAGACAAGACCCUUUUUUUUUUUUUUUUUUUUUACCAAAAUACUUUCUACAGAAUUCCAAACCAAAAUGUACUGUUUAAGGCAUCUUUUUUAUAACAUUUUCUCUUCACUCAAAGAUGAUAGUCAUGCAGCAGUUUAAUGAUAAAAAUAUAUUAAUAUUUUACUA
rnacentral:lncRNA from 1 species